AUUGAACGCUGGCGGCAGGCCUAACACAUGCAAGUCGAACGAGUGGCGGACGGGUGAGUAAUGUCUGGGAAACUGCCUGACGGAGGGGGAUCACUACUGGAAACGGUAGCUAAUACCGCAUACCAUCAGAUGUGCCCAGAUGGGAUUAGCUUGUUAGUGGGGUAACGGUUCACCAAGGCGACGAUCCCUAGCUGGCCUGGGAGGAUGACCAGCCAAACUGGAACUGAGACCCGGGCCAGACUCCGACGGGGGGCAGCAGUGGGGAAUAUUGCACAAUGGGCGCAAGCCUGAUGCAGCCAUGCCGCGUGUAUGAAGAAGGCCUUCGGGUUGUAAAGUACUUUCAGCGGGGAGGCGUGACCCGCAGAAGAAGCACCGGCUAACUCCGUGCCAGCCGCCGCGGUAAUUC
rnacentral:rRNA from 1 species